CAGCCCCAGGGGACAGGGGACGUCUGGGUCACCACCGCACUCGGGGGCGAAUGGUUGGUACUUGACUACCCCCCCCCCCACUCCCCGCCACGGCCUGCUAAGCUCAGGACAGACGUGCAGGUUCUGAGGUUCCUAAGCUGGGGGCGGGGGAGCCCCCAAGUUGCCCCUUGGUCAGAGCCCCCUUGAGGCCCGGCUUGCUGUGCGGAGCACCAGACAGCACCCCCUCGGAUUGGAGAGCCCCCCCCCACCGAAUUGGAGGGCCCCGUGGGGGCUGAGGCCACAGAGCCGCCCCCCAGGACAGGGGCACGGGCGCAGACGCACACAGGCAGGCACGCACAGCCGUCUGACCUGCCACGGCGCUGAGAUCUGAAGGCUGUGGUUAGAGCCCCUCUUCCGUGCCCCUGCCAGAGAGAGCCUUGUUCACACACCCCGACACCCCUCUCAUCCCACCCCGACCCCCAGCGCCCUGUGGGGGUGGGGGGGUGGGUUGCAGAAACUGAGCUCAAGGAACUUCAGUCCCUCUGCCCAGGGCCACCGACUGGGGGAGGUCCAGGACCCUAGACCCCAGGCCACAGCACGUGGCUCCCUCCACGUGUGGGGCUUGUGCAGGUGGCCAGGCCAGAAGGGGCCUCCUGCUGGCUGACCUGAGGGCCACCUUCCAGCCGGGGACACCAGUGCUCCCAGUCAGUAGGUCCCUGGGCCCCCUGGGGCUCCCGCAGGGGGUCCCCAGACAGCCCUGCAGGCUCUCCCACCCUCGGCGUGCCCCUGCCUGCCUGUGAGCUGCUCCCCACUCUGAAUGUCAGGCUCCGUAAGUUGGGAACAACAGCCCCCUGGCCCCCUGACCAGGUGGAGCCUGUGGAGACUUGCUCUGGUGGGGAGACUCCCCGAUGUGAGCUGCCUGCCCUGCCCUCCGUGCGGCCCUGAGUGAGCUCCUAGCCCCUUGGGCCCUGGGUACCCGUCUUUGACACGUGGUGACACCUGCCGGGCCUGGCUGCAUGACGCGGAUGGGCUGAGCCUGGCGGGCACCCCGGGUCGCGUGCUGGGCGCCCACCGUGGGCACGUGCCACACUGGGUGGCCUUCCGGGCCAGGGCCUGAGGCUCCCUCCCACGCUCUGUCCCCACGGAGCUUCCCCCGGCACGUUCCAGAGCCACGGGCACUGCCCCACAUCCACAUGAUGAGGCGAAGCACAAGGCCGGGGCCUGGAGACACCGUGGGGUCCUGGCUGAGCAGGACCGCAGCCCCAGAGGAAGUCAGCACACGCUGGUCAAGACAAGCUGCCAAGUGUCCCCAGUCUUUGUAAAUGGCCACCUGCCUCCGGAAGCCUAAGCUGAGCGCAUCCUCAGCAAAUACUGGGGGGGCCUGGCUGCCUUCGACUGCUCAGCACCCCUGUCUCCCAGGUCUUCCCGACAGACCAGGUUUCUGCCCUGUGGCAGAAACCAGAAGCUGACCUCUGACACACACACACACACACACACGCACGCACGCACGCACGCACGCACUCAUGUCUUACCCCACCAGCUCUGGCCAGCUUGGCCCCGCACAUCACAGCCGGCCUGGCCCUGCCCCCUUGCCUCCCUCCCUGCACCCAGGGAUCCUUCCUGAUAGGUCAGGUCUCUCUCCCCCAUCGCUGCCCCGCCCUUUCUAACCCUUCCCCUGCUCUCCCUGCCCUGCUCCGAGGCUUGUCCAAAGAGCUUCCCCAGACUUCUCACCCCCCCAGCCCCUGGUCCACAGUGGCCGGCUGGUCCCCACUGGGUCACCCCUGGGCCUGGUCCCCUACGCCUGCCUCCACAACAUCGCUCUCCUUAUCACAGAGAGAGGAGGGCGCUGCUCAGAGGGUUUCACGCAACUCACACCGUUGAACCCCCCAGAAGAGCUGGGUGGGACCGGUGUUUCCACCCUCCCUCCAAGGGGCCCCAGAUCCAAGCAGCCGGGGUGCCUGGCAGCAUAUAAGCACAGAACCAGCUUCUGGGCCCCCGGGGCCAAUGGCUACAGUGCUCCUGGGCUGGACCACUGGGCCACACUGCCCACUGUCCACAGGGCGUAACCAGCCUCCAGGGGGGCCCUCUCCAGGCAGGUCAGGCCCACCCAGGCCCACUUCUGGAAUGCAGCCCAUGGCACUCGCUCCCUGACCACGCGGGUGGUGGUCAGACGGCACCUACCCCCGCCCCCCUUGCCCAGCCUGCCCAGCCCCCACCUCGCCACUGCCCCCACCAGCAGCCACUCCCGGGUGUCGGGAGGCAGGCCAUGAUUCAGGCCUGAGUCAGCAGCUUUGGGAGAAGGACUUGGCGGCUUCUGCCAGCACGGGGCCGGGGGGGGGGGGGGGGAGGGGGGGAGCGGGGAGAAGAGUCUAGGCUCUGUUGGCUGGGGUCACCGGGGUCCCCUGGCCAGGACACACCUGAUGGAGCCCCGGAGCCCUCUUCUGGGGGAAGUUUACACACACACAGCCUGCCAUCUGGGGGUCGGGUCUGGAGCAGUGGGAGCCAGUGGAGGAGAGACCACACGCAGUGAGGUGGGGUCUCGGCCGGAGGGGCUGCUCUCUGGGCUCGCUCAGGCUGCAGCCCACCCAUGUGCCCCCUCCCAAGAGGAAAUGGAGCUACACGCUGACAGAGUCACUCAGCAAACACCCCUGGGCGCCUCCCCAGCCAGGCCCUGUGCCGGAAAAGCAAACACGGGGGUGGGGGGGGCGGGACACCCAGCCAUGGGGCAAUUCACUGACUGGAAUGUGCAGAGAAACAGCUUUGGCUCCCGGGGGUGGGGGUGGGGGGGCAGGGGGGUGUCAAGGGCUCCUGAGAAGCUAAAGCAGGGAGGGGCCUCCCGCUGUCCCCCUCCCGCAGGCUUUGAAUCUGGAUCUUGCGAAUGCGUCUGUGCUCAGUGAGUACGUGGGACUCGGUUAAAAAUGGGAAUAAGAGAAGUCAUCCUCAGGACAGCCAUCAGCAGAAAGCCUGGCGCCACACUUGUCCGUCGCCUUCAGGGACGAGACGCUGUGUCGGCUGAGCCCGGCUCGGGGGGACACGUCCGGAAGGACCUACCAUCCAGAGGCUCGGUGGCCAUCGGCCCCUGGGCGCCCUCGCCCUGUGAGCCGCCCCCAACUUGGCAAAGGGCGGGGCUGCACCCGCGGGGCCGAGAGACCAGGGGCCGAGCCCAGUCACCGCUGUCAAAUUGUCAAAUUAGCACCUGACUUCUGGUUAGUCUAAAAAAUACGACCCAAGUAACCGGAGUCGACGGAUAGAGGAAACGGUGCCUGGGGCGGCCCCAAAGGGCUUUGCCCAGGAGCCGGGGAGAGCCUGGCGGGUCCUGAGCCGCCCAUGUGGCGGGGACAGUCCAGGGUUCGUUCUGUGGCAGAGCGGGGAAGGUGGGGGGAACCACUCCAACCGCCACCCCGGCACCCCUCUGCCACACCUGGUCUAGAAACACAGGCUAAUCAGGCAGACAAAUGACACACAGGCCUGUGCGGAGAGAGGUCAAAGUUCGGUGGAGACAAGGGACAACAGGUGCCUGGUGCCCAGAGGCAGAGAGUCACAGUGGAGGGAGGCGUCACCCCUGCAGCGCCAGUGCAGAGGUGUGGGAGAGAGCCUUCGUGGCCAGUGUGGGCAGAAGAACCACCUUGGGGUCAUAGCUUUUUGGUUAUUUUUAACCCUUAAGCCUCCGGCUGCUGCUCGGGAGACAAGCCCACAAGCCGGGCCCUGAAUGGUGCUCGGGAAGGUGGGCCGGCGGGUGUGGGAGCAGAGACCUGGCGGGCGGGGGUGUCGGGCAAGGAGCAAGCCAGCUGGGGCACCAGGGGCCCCCACCUCCGAGUGACUCUCCAGUCUAGUCUGGCCGUGGGACAGCUCAGGUGCACUGAAGCUGACGACACUCAGCACCCAGUUCAGGGAUGGCUGGGCAAACUGGGGGCCAGGCCCGAAGGUGGGGUGUGCUGGGACCACAGGGGGCUGCGGCAUUGGGGACCCCGGGGCAGGGCUGGAGGUCCAGGGGUGGGUCGGAGUGAGGCAGGCCCCUGGCCGGAAGGGUCACAGCCACCCACAGGGAUCCCAUUCAUAAAUUCUUGGGUAACAGGCUCCUUCCCCAAAAUAAAGUCUUCACGGACCUGCGACGCCCAGGCUGGGCACCAUGUCUCUAAGAAACACAGUCCAGGAGCCAAAACCACCGGCAAGCAUUUCAGACUUGGUUCCAUCUCUUCAAGAACACCGGGGAGAAUCCGACUCGCCAGCCUAAAUGCCCCUGUUCCCCAUCCCCCACCGCUUCGCUGCCCUGAGACCCGAUCCCCUUCUCCCCCUGCCCCCUGACUGCUUCCCUCUCUAGAGGGGAGAGAAGACCCACCCUUGAACCUGCAGCUUCAAGGCCAAGGGCAAGGUGAGGCAGAAAAGACUUGUGCAGACACUGAGUUUGGGGAGCCGUGGGGCCCGGGGGCCCCCUCACCCUCGAAGUCCCCCAGGGACUCCAUCUGGUGUGCCCCCCAGUUUCUCCCUCCCCCCAGUUCCCAGAACCAAGGCCGCUGGUCCCAGCGGCUUCCACCUGGUUAACUGCAGGAGCCUUUCUUUGGGCACAGGUGACGCAGCCCCCAGUAUAUAAACCAGUCAGAGCUCAGCUGCUCUCUGCCCCCGUCACACUGAGUUAUCUGUGCAGAACCCCACUUGUCCGUCUAGACCUUCCCUGGGCAGCUGUGGUCACCAGAGGAGGCCGGGGAGGGGAGGGGCAGCCUGUCUCACCCGGGGUCUGCAGGAGUCCCAGAGCCCCUCUCUGCUCUGCAGGCCGCAUCUCCAGCCAUGGCCCCGAGCACCCCCCAGGGAGUCAGGGACCACUGGCCACCCCCCAGCUCAGACAGGUGCCUGAGGGAAGCAGGCCGCAGACAGACGGACUGCAGACCUGGAGACUGGCCACCCCUGCCAACACCCCAGCCUCUGUGCAGGCAGCGCCCCUGGCCUGGGGUGCGGAGGACAGUGAAGGAGCAGGUGCCCCUGUGCCCUGCACUUGGCAGUGGGGUCCUCACGGUCUCGGCAGCCCCGGGGGCCUGGCGGUUGUGGUCUAGGGUCACCACGAACAGCGAAUUGGCUUCUAGGGGACACAGGGUUAGAGGCUGCUAGCCUCUGGCCAACAUUUCCCCAGCUGAUCAACGCAUGACCUGGUUCUGUGUGUGUUUCUGUUUAGAAACGCUUUAUUUAGUGUGGAGUUGACCCUUGAACCACAACGAGGCUAAGAGCACUGACCGCCGCACCGUCGAACAUCCACGUAUAACUUUUAACUCCCCAAGACUUUACUCAUAGCCCACGGUUGACCGGAAGCCUUACUGGUAACGUCAACCGUCGGUUGAUAUGUAUUUGUAUGCUAUGUGUAUCAUACGCUGUACUCUUACAAUGAAGUGAGCUAGAGAAAAGAGCGUUAGCAAGAAAACCAUAAGGAAGAUACGUUUACAGCACCAGGCUGUGUUUAUUGAGAAAUGAUCUCCGUCUAAGUGGACCCACGCAGUUCAGACCUGCGGCGUUCACGGCCAACUGCACACUACAGACUCGCUCUCCCUGAGCUCAGGGCCAGCGGCUUUGUAACCAGCACCUGAAGGAAGUUUCCUGACCCCAGCGUGUCCUCCGGGAGGCAUGUCCCAGCACAGGAUUAGCCAUUUCAACAGGGAAAUCUCCACCACAGGGACAAAAAUGUGGAAAACACGGUCCUGGACAGGCACAGGCAGGAGAAGGACGCUUGUUUGUGGCGCAGAAUGAAACCGGGAGGCAGGACACCCCCUCCUCCGACCUCAGCGGGGGACCUGAUCAUCGGGGGACUCAGCUUUUGCCACCCUGGGCACGUUCCCGAAUGCCUGCGAUUUUAGGGUCACGAACGCGAGUUGAACGGAAGGC